UAAAAUAGUCUUUGUACCUAGCAGUAUCCUGAGUACGGCGGGACACGAGAAAUCCCGUCGGAAUCUGGGAGGACCAUCUCCCAACCCUAAAUACUCCCUAGUGACCGAUAGUGAACCAGUACCGUGAGGGAAAGGUGAAAAGCACCCCGGGAGGGGAGUGAAAUAGAACCUGAAACCGUGUGCCUACAACAAGUUCGAGCCCGUUAAUGGGUGAGAGCGUGCCUUUUGUAGAAUGAACCGGCGAGUUACGUUAUGAUGCGAGGUUAAGUUGAAGAGACGGAGCCGUAGGGAAACCGAGUCUGAAUAGGGCGGAUUAGUAUCAUGACGUAGACCCGAAACCAUGUGACCUACCCAUGAGCAGGUUGAAGGUGCGGUAAGACGCACUGGAGGACCGAACCAGGGCACGUUGAAAAGUGCUUGGAUGACUUGUGGGUAGCGGAGAAAUUCCAAACGAACUUGGAGAUAGCUGGUUCUCUCCGAAAUAGCUUUAGGGCUAGCGUCGACAUUAGAGAUUCUUGGAGGUAGAGCACUGUUUGGGUGAGGGGUCCA
rnacentral:rRNA from 1 species